CCUUUUUGCAAUUUCUACAGGUCUCUCAUUGGGAUGGGACUGAAUAUUUACCUUCUGGUACAUUUUACUCCAUUUCCAGCUGCUCAGCAUGUCCCAGACAAUGAUGCAGAAAGUCAGUGAUGGUAAUGCAAGGAGUGAUUUGAGGAAUCUGAAGAGAGGACAGAAAGCUGAUGAUAACUAUUAGCUGAUACCCUGGCAGAUCUUUCUCAAACUGUGAUGUGAACUGGCAAGUGGGCUGCCAAGAGUGAGAUGAAAGAGCAUGACAGAGACUCCAGAGUAUGAGACAAUAAUGAACGUACUCUUGAGCUUCCUAUUUGGAGGCAGGCAGUUCAACAUUACGUGGUUAUAUUAAAGCCUCAACUGAGAGUAUG